AAAUUGAAGAGUUUGAUCAUGGCUCAGAUUGAACGCUGGCGGCAGGCCUAACACAUGCAAGUCGAACGGUAGCACAGAGGAGCUUGCUCCUUGGGUGACGAGUGGCGGACGGGUGAGUAAUGUCUGGGAAACUGCCCGAUGGAGGGGGAUAACUACUGGAAACGGUAGCUAAUACCGCAUAACGUCGCAAGACCAAAGAGGGGGACCUUCGGGCCUCUUGCCAUCGGAUGUGCCCAGAUGGGAUUAGCUAGUAGGUGGGGUAACGGCUCACCUAGGCGACGAUCCCUAGCUGGUCUGAGAGGAUGACCAGCCACACUGGAACUGAGACACGGUCCAGACUCCUACGGGAGGCAGCAGUGGGGAAUAUUGCACAAUGGGCGCAAGCCUGAUGCAGCCAUGCCGCGUGUAUGAAGAAGGCCUUCGGGUUGUAAAGUACUUUCAGCGAGGAGGAAGGUGUUGUGGUUAAUAACC
rnacentral:rRNA from 2 species